rnacentral:rRNA from 1 species
GUUGUAGCUGGCUGUUUCGUUUGAGCGGCAUGUGCACGCCCUGAUCAUUAUCCAUCUCACACACCUGUGCACAUACUGUAGGUCGGCUUUUGAUUGGAGUGGGGUCUUCAUCGACUCUGCUUUUUAGUUGGGGCCUUCCUAUGUUUUAUCACACACUACUUCAGUUAAAAGAAUGUCCUCUUGCGUCUAACGCAUUUAAAUACAACUUUCAGCAACGGAUCUCUUGGCUCUCGCAUCGAUGAAGAACGCAGCGAAAUGCGAUAAGUAAUGUGAAUUGCAGAAUUCAGUGAAUCAUCGAAUCUUUGAACGCACCUUGCGCUCCUUGGUAUUCCGAGGAGCAUGCCUGUUUGAGUGUCAUGGAAUUCUCAACUCUAUUUGCUUUUGUGAAUAGAGCUUGGACUUGGAGGUUUAUUGCCGGUACCUGUGAUCGGCUCCUCUUGAAUGCAUUAGCUCGAACCUUUUGUGGAUCAGCUUAUCGGUGUGAUAAAAUGUCUACGCCGUUACUGUGAAGCAUAUUAUUCGGCUUCCAAUCGUCCUUCACGGGACAAUAACUUUGACCUUUGACCUCAAAUCAGGUAGGAUUACCCGCUGAACUUAAGCAUAUCAAUAAGCGGAGGAA